AGAGUUUGAUCCUGGCUCAGGACGAACGCUGGCGGCGUGCCUAAUACAUGCAAGUAGAACGCUGAAGGAGGAGCUUGCUUCUCUGGAUGAGUUGCGAACGGGUGAGUAACGCGUAGGUAACCUGCCUGGUAGCGGGGGAUAACUAUUGGAAACGAUAGCUAAUACCGCAUAAGAGUAGAUGUUGCAUGACAUUUGCUUAAAAGGUGCAAUUGCAUCACUACCAGAUGGACCUGCGUUGUAUUAGCUAGUUGGUGAGGUAACGGCUCACCAAGGCGACGAUACAUAGCCGACCUGAGAGGGUGAUCGGCCACACUGGGACUGAGACACGGCCCAGACUCCUACGGGAGGCAGCAGUAGGGAAUCUUCGGCAAUGGACGGAAGUCUGACCGAGCAACGCCGCGUGAGUGAAGAAGGUUUUCGGAUCGUAAAGCUCUGUUGUAAGAGAAGAACGAGUGUGAGAGUGGAAAGUUCACACUGUGACGGUAUCUUACCAGAAAGGGACGGCUAACUACGUGCCAGCAGCCGCGGUAAUACGUAGGUCCCGAGCGUUGUCCGGAUUUAUUGGGCGUAAAGCGAGCGCAGGCGGUUAGAUAAGUCUGAAGUUAAAGGCUGUGGCUUAACCAUAGUACGCUUUGGAAACUGUUUAACUUGAGUGCAAGAGGGGAGAGUGGAAUUCCAUGUGUAGCGGUGAAAUGCGUAGAUAUAUGGAGGAACACCAGUGGCGAAGGCGACUCUCUGGUCUGUAACUGACGCUGAGGCUCGAAAGCGUGGGUAGCAAACAGGAUUAGAUACCCUGGUAGUCCACGCCGUAAACGAUGA
rnacentral:rRNA from 1 species